UACUAUAAUCUAAUCACUGGCAUGUUCCAGACCCCCUGUCUACAGCAACAUUAUACCACCGCCUCUCCAUGUUGUUGUAGAGGUUCUUGUGUGGAUUUUGAGGGUUAGAACAAAACAUAAAGGGAUGCCAGUGUCGGAAAUUUUAAAUGAAAACUCAUGGUCCACUAAUGUGAAGGAAGGCUGGUCAGUGAGUUAAUGAAGCAGCAUUGUUAGCAGCUGCGGUAUAGCUGUGAAAGCACCCUCGCUCACUUUCUGGUGGCUUUGGAUGGAGGCUGGUGUGACCGGCCAACCCCGAAUAACAGGCUUAAACGGGACAACUGCAGCUACAUGCUCCUGGUAUGAUGAGCUAUGCUGUUGGAGUCUUGUGGCUGCAAAGACGAACCUUUCUUCUUAUUUUGAAGCAGCAAUCCGGACCAGUUGUCAUGGUGAUUAGCAGCACAGAGAGGAGGAGCUGUCUGGAGGAGAAACACAACAGGAGAAGGAGGAGAUGAAGAAGAGAGCUGGGAGAAGAGGAGGAUGAGGAGGAGAAGGAGAUCCCUAUAAGUGCCUGGAAGGCAUCAGUGUCCUGUCACCUUCUCCUCCCUCCAUCUCCCUCCCUCUCUCCGUACUCUGUCACAACCAGGCGGGGAGCAACAGAGGGAGGACACAAACUCAAAGAAAAACCACCAUAUGAAGUAAAAUGGAAAAGCAUGGCUCCUCUCUCUUUCCUCUUCAUCCUCCUCCUCCUCUCCAGGCUUAAACAACAACCAAGUAGAACACACAACUCCUCAAACCCGAGAAAAAUCAAAUAAUAUUAAACAACAA